rnacentral:rRNA from 1 species
AGAGUUUCGAUCCUGGCUCAGGACGAACGGCUGGCGGCGUACUUAACACAUGCAAGUCGAACGGAGCACCCCUGAAGGAGUUUUCGGACAACGGAAGGGAAUGCUUAGUGGCGGACUGGUGAGUAACGCGUGAGGAACCUGCCUUCCAGAGGGGGACAACAGUUGGAAACGACUGCUAAUACCGCAUGAAACAUUUGAACCGCAUGGUUUGAAUGUCAAAGAUUUAUCGCUGGAAGAUGGCCUCGCGUCUGAUUAGCUAGUAGGCGGGGUAACGGCCCACCUAGGCGACGAUCAGUAGCCGGACUGAGAGGUUGACCGGCCACAUUGGGACUGAGAUACGGCCCAGACUCCUACGGGAGGCAGCAGUGGGGAAUAUUGGGCAAUGGGCGCAAGCCUGACCCAGCAACGCCGCGUGAAGGAAGAAGGCUUUCGGGUUGUAAACUUCUUUCAAGAGGGAAGGGAAGAAGACGGUACCUCUUGAAUAAGCCACGGCUAACUACGUG